rnacentral:rRNA from 1 species
GACGAACCGUGCGAACGUUGUUCGGAAUUACUGGGCGUAAAGCGUGCGCAGGCGGUUGUGCAAGACAGAGGUGAAAUCCCCGGGCUUAACCUGGGAAUGGCCUUUGUGACUGCACGGCUAGAGUGUGUCAGAGGGGGGUAGAAUUCCACGUGUAGCAGUGAAAUGCGUAGAGAUGUGGAGGAAUACCGAUGGCGAAGGCAGCCCCCUGGGAUAACACUGACGCUCAUGCACGAAAGCGUGGGGAGCAAACAGG